GUACUGAUUUAUUACAUAAUUUCAAAUGUCCAUAAAUAAAAGAUAGAUUAACUCCUAUCUAUCCAGCAAUCAGACUCCAUGCUGAUCUUAUUUCUCGUCCCACCCAAUGGUCUCUACAAAUCCAGUGCCUCUGAAAAAGAAAGUAAAUGUAGUAUGAGCUUUUCCAGCCCAGUAAGAAUCCCAACAGCCAUACACAGUAAUAAUAAUAAAAUAAUCAAAAUAUCAAAUAAAUGCCAUUUCAUCUAUUCAAAAGCUCACAAACAACAAGUGUAUAUAAUCAAUACAUAUACACAAAUCCUUUUUCACAUUAUGUGAUCCAUUCCCGUAUUACUCUGGUUCUCAAGUUUUCAGACUUUUCACUUCUGGCUUUGGACUAACCAAGAUCAUGACCCAGUCCAAGAGAAAUUGUAGACUGACUCAAUCACGGUUCCGAGUCACAACCUACUCGCUGGGGUACUGAGUCCCCUGAUCAAAAUCUCCUGGCUCCGUUGACUCUUCCGCCAUGGAUCUCGGCCAACCGGCGGCAAAAUCCGGAGGAGAGGAGCCGAAACAGGGGUACCCUGUUUCGGAUCCUUCUUCGAUGAUUUCAUCAGCCAAAACCCAGGAAAUACGACCCAAAAACCAAGCAAUGAAAUGCAAGGAAGAAGCCACGCUUACCUCGGUCUGAUGGGGGUGCUCCGGCGGCCUUUCCGGCGACGAAAUUGGAGAGGAAGCUCGGGUUUCCACGCGCGGGUCCAAGGCUUCUUCUCCCGAUUUGUGGGGGGAUCUUCACCGAGGGAGGGAAAAGCUUCCGGCUUCCUCCGCGGCCGGCCGGUUCUCGGCUCCGGCGCUGGAUCUCCUCCGGCGAUCGAUCCCUCCAACGCCGCCGCCCCCCUCUAAUGCCUCCCUUCCACGAUCGUGCCUAGGGCACGAUCAUAAUAAGGGGAAUGGGCCCGGUCAUUUCGGGCCGGCCCAUCUAAACCUUUUUUUUUUUUUUGGGGUUUUCACACCACCAAUGUCAAUGGUGGUUGGUAA
rnacentral:lncRNA from 1 species